AUCGAACGCUGGCGGCAGGCCUAACACAUGCAAGUCGAGCGGAUGAGAGAAGCUUGCUUCUCGAUUCAGCGGCGGACGGGUGAGUAAUGCCUAGGAAUCUGCCUGGUAGUGGGGGACAACGUUUCGAAAGGAACGCUAAUACCGCAUACGUCCUACGGGAGAAAGCAGGGGACCUUCGGGCCUUGCGCUAUCAGGUGAGCCUAGGUCGGAUUAGAUAGUUGGUGAGGUAAUGGCUCACCAAGGCGACGAUCCGUAACUGGUCUGGGAGGAUGAUCAGUCACACUGGAACUGAGACACGGUCCAGACUCCUACGGGAGGCAGCAGUGGGGAAUAUUGGACAAUGGGCGAAAGCCUGAUCCAGCCAUGCCGCGUGUGUGAAGAAGGUCUUCGGAUUGUAAAGCACUUUAAGUUGGGAGGAAGGGUUGUAGAUUAAUACUCUGCAAUUUUGACGUUACCGACAGAAUAAGCACCGGCUAACUCUGUGCCAGCAGCCGCCGUAACAC
rnacentral:rRNA from 1 species